CAUACGCAGAGCACAUGCACAUACAGUAUGUACACACUUGCACAUGCAGGGCACACACACAUGCACACACUGUGCACACACACACAUGCUCACACACAGUGCAUACACACACAUGCACAUGCAGGGCACAUGCACACAGUGUGUACACACAUGCACACGCAGGGCACACACAUGCACACAGUGUGUACACACACACAUGCUCACACACAGUGCAUACACACACAUGCACACGCAGGGCACACACACGCACACAGUGUGUACACACAUGCAAACACAGGGCGCACAUGCACACAGUGCGUGCGCACAUGCACACAGUGCGUACACACAUGCACACACACGUGCACAGAGCAUACACACACAUGCACAUGCAGGGCACACACGCACACACAGGGUACAUACACACAUGCACAGAGCAUACACACAUGCACACGCAGGACGCAUGUGCACAAUGCAUACACACACAUGCACAUGCAAGGCACACGUGCACACACGCACACAGUGUAUACACACACAUGCACACGCAGGGCGCGUGCCCACACACACACACACACACAGUAUGUACACACAUAUGCACAUGCAGAGCUCACACACAUGAACAGACAGUGUGUACACACACACACACAUGAAGGUCUCGCCCCACACACAGGGCAGGUGCACACGCACACACAGGGCACAUGCACAUACAUAGUGCGUACACACAUGUACAUGCAAGGCGCUCGCGCGCAGUACGUGCACACACAUGCACGCAGGGUGGGUGCACACACAUGCUCACAUAAUGUGUACACACACAUGCACGCGCAGGGCACAUGCAGACACGCAUGCAUGCAGGGCAGGUGCACACACACACACACAGUGCAUACACUCAUGCACACGCAGGGCACGUGCACACACACAGCCUCAGAUGAGCCGGCAGACCUCACGUUGCUCACAUUUGAGGCACAUCCUGGGGUCUGGCAUGUACUUUGUCUAACCUAAAGCUCUGUUGACCUUACGACCCAAGUCAAGGAUGGGAGUUUUAAGAUGCAGACCACCUCCACUUCCGGUUUUAAAUUACCACUUUAAUGAACGUGAUCCUGGGUGUUCGUCUCGACCACCUCGAGUUUUUAAGACACUUACAGUCUUG
rnacentral:lncRNA from 1 species